rnacentral:rRNA from 1 species
GAGUUUGAUCAUGGCUCAGAACGAACGCUGGCGGCGUGUUUAAGACAUGCAAGUCGCACGGGAUUCAUUUUAUAGCAAUAUACGAUGGGUCCAGUGGCGCACGGGUGAGUAACACGUGAAUGACAUGCCCUAUAGAGGGGGAUAGCCCAGGGAAACUUGGAUUAAUACCCCAUGGUCUCGCGAGAGUAAAGGCGGCGCAAGCUGUCGCUAUAGGAUUGGUUCGCGUUCUAUCAGCUUGUUGGCGGGGUAACGGCCACCAAGGCUACGACGGAUACCUGGUCUGAGAGGACGAUCAGGCACACUGGAACUGAGACACGGUCCAGACACCUACGGGUGGCAGCAGUCGAGAAUAAUUCACAAUGGGGGCAACCCUGAUGGUGCGACGCCGCGUGGAGGAUG